UGAGGUCACCCUCUCAGCAGUCUGGAGACCCUCCAGUUGGCAGGGCAAUGGGUACACGAGCAGCACAUCUGUUAUUUUGUAGCGUGGUGCUGGACUGGGCAAGGUAGGACAAACAGGGUGAGAUACAUAGGAAUUUCGUUCCACACACAAUGACAUAAGUUAUUGACUAAGUGACAUCCAGGGGUGAAUGGAGGACGAGGGUUGGGGGAUUGGAGCCUCGCACAAGGACACCAAGAUAAUGAAAUUAUGUAUUUUACUGCACACGGAUACAGUCUCUGUCUCUCUCUUUCUCUCACUCUCACUGUCUGCCAACAAUUUAUUUUAAGGGUUCGUAAUAAACUAUUGAUAAUGCAUUAUACAUUGUGUGUAUACCAUUUGUUAAUCAUUACUCUCAUAUUUAUCAACCAUUUACUAAUCAUUUAAUAAUCAAGUCUUUUUGUAGUCCCUAAUCUAAAGUGAGUGCUAUUUAAUACUUAAAAAUACUUUCUAAAUGUUUUCAGGGAUGGUGUUAUUUCCCACAAAAGAUGGGCAUGCCAUUGGUAGACAUUCCUGCAGUACCUGGUAAAAGAAUAAGCACACAACACAGGAUAUUUUAGGAAAUCCAGGUUGCAUUUGUAUUUUUGUUCAGUAUAUAUGUGACGUGCCAGGGAACGUUACCACCACACCACGGCUCUGCACACCACCAUUGUUAUGAACAGAGUGGCUGCGGAUCCAACUUUUUUGGACCAUUCUUCCUGACAGGUCCCAAAGCUUCUGUGCAUGUGCCGUAUUCUCAACUUUAUGCACAGUCUCUGCUCUGCGCUACAGGUGGCUAUAUCAGUCCGCUAAUACAGGACUAGUAAAGACCCAGUGCACUACUUUUGUGAAGAUCCCCCCCCUCAGCACCCCUACUUCCCUCUGCUAUGUUUAAGUGCAUUUCCCAUGAAACUGAUUUGAGAUCAAUGGUUGGUAUGCAGAUGCUGCAUGGACGUUUACCUGUAAAACAUGAAGAAUUAUCAUUCAAGAUUGACAGUGAGAAACGUAAAGGGAGGGUGACCACAAAAACGUGGUUCAGAUCUUCAGCUCCGGGGUAAAGAAAUCCAGGGGGGCAGGAAGGGGCGGUUACCUACAGAUCCGCAGCCUCGGCCUAUAGCCUAAAUUACAGGACAUGAGAGGAGUAGAAUUAGCUAUGUUCUCAUUACAGGACUGGUUCAAAAAAAUGGCAGGCUUUUUUCUACGCCAAAUCAGUCUUGUGAUGUUGAAUUGAUUUUGGAAAUACUGAAUUAUCACCUGGUCCUCGUGUGAAUAGAAAGGGGUACACUCUGUGUGGCAGGCAAGCCCAGAAGCCAUGCAGUGUUUUGGUUGUGUAAUGUGCAUCGUGGAUCAUGUGGAUGGUGUGUGGAGGUAUACAUCCUCGAGGCGGCAUGACUACCAAGGUGAACAGAACCGUUCCACAGUGACAUUUGCUUGCACACCGUGUGUGUGAGCUCACCAGUCACGGUCCAGGCUCUCUUAUUAUCACUGUGAUCGAUGUGUGUGCAAUGGUUAUCUGGGACAUUGCAUCACUUGGGCUCGGUGGGUGCAGAGUCAAUGGAUACUACUGUAGCUUCCACUCCUCCCCAUCGAUCCUUACUCUUGUGAUGGAAUGACUGUGUUGUUGCUCUCCGCACAGGAUAGAGGAGACUGGGGACAACUGUAACACAACUGACCCAUGUUACAUUUGGCCCUGCUCUCCACUACAAAUUCUUAGCAGUAUCCCCUUGAAUAUUCAAUGUCCAUUAUUAAUUAACCUUCAUUUGCAUUCUGUGUUGUUUUUCUCUCUAGUGGUGCAAUGUCAAUGUGUGUAUUGGCACAGCCUAGUCAAGGUGCCUCCCAUCCCUCUGCAGUCAUUAAACCUGAAAGACACUGUAAACAACAAGGCUUUGGAAAGAGCCUUAGGAUGUGUUCCAAUAUCCACACUAGAAUGCAUGCCAGUACAUUGCUUCAUUGUAAGUGGUAUGCUAGUAUUGGAACAGAGCCUUAAUGUAAGCAAAUGGUUUUACUAUCCAGUUUUCUGCCCACUACAUUAUGUUUACAGUAGUAUAUCCCAGCAGAGGUCCUCCUAACUCCACUGCUUUUCUGUGCUCCUCUCCCAGAGGCUCCUCUCCCAGAAGCUCCUCUCUAACCGCCUGGGCCCAUAUUCAGACAUCUUCCAAGAGUGCUGAUCUAAGAUCAGGUCCUCAAUGUCUAUAUACACUGAGUGUACAAAAAUAUUGAGUUGCCCUCAGAACAGACUCAAUUUGUCGGGGCAUGUACCCUGCAAGGUGUCAAAAGCGUUCCACAGGGAUGUUGGCCGAUGUUGACUCCAAUGCUUCCCACAGUUGUCAAGUUGGCUAUUUGGAUGGUGUUCCAUUCUCGAUACACACGGGAAAGUGUUGCGCAUGAAAAACCCAGCAGCGUUGCAGUUCUUGACACACUCAAACUGAUGCGCCUGGCACUUACUACCAUACCCUGUUCAAAGGCACGUAAAUCUUUUGUCUUGCCCAUUCACCCUCUGAAUGGCACAUAUACACAAUCCGUCUUAAUUGUCUUAAAAAUACUUAUUUAACCUGUCUCCUCCCCUUCAUCUACACUGAUUGAAGAGGAUUUAACAAGUGACAUAAUUAAGGGAUCAUAGCUUUUACUUAGAUUCACCUGGUCAGUUUAUGUCAUGGACAGAGCAGGUGUUCCUGAUGUUUGUACACUCAGUGUAAUUCUUAUUCAGUAUGAUUUAAAAGGCCAAACUGAUCCUGUAUCAGCAGCUCUGGAUCACCAUGCCAAUUCUAAUAAAUACUGGUCGGAGAGCAGCAGCCCCACAUUCCACACCCCCACCCCACACACACACACACACACACACACACACACACACACACACACACACACACACACACACAGACACCGCAGCCCUACAUUCCAGAACAACAAGAACUUCCCUUAAUCUGCCUCGGAGUCAGAGAUGGAGCAACAGUUGGUGGGCGGGAUGCGUGAGAGGGCUGUUGGGAGACUACCAGAGGAGAGGAGAGCUCCCCGCUGGCAGCAGUGUGAUGUGUAUGUAAAACGCUGGGAAUGUUGAAAUUGGAUUGAUUCUCUACUCGUAGCUCUCCAGGCAGCUCUAUAAUGAACCACUGACUGAGAAGCAGAUUUUGGCAGUUGUGAUGGUUUUUCCCAAAGAUGCAGGGAAACAGAUCCUAUUACGUUGUUUUUCCCAUAAUGUCGUGUGUGUGUGUGUGUGUGUGUGUGUGUGUAUAUUUGGUUUGUGGAAGGGCGCCUGUUGAACUUGGAAAUGCUUUGCAGAUGUGCAGAAUGUCUAUAGUUGAGCCCUGUUGCCAUUUUUCUGCCAAUUGACUGUUGUUGGCAGAGAGAUGGACAUAAUUCACCUUGUAAGAGGGUUUGAUGGGUUGGUUUCCCACCCUGUACAGAUCUGUGUUAUUUGCAGGGCAGGUUUUGUGAAUGCAUUGCUGUUAUCAUACACAGUAUGCCUCUUAUGUUAUUGACUGAUAGAUUGAUAGAGCCAUGUUAAUAGUAAUGGCUCCAGUGGGGAUUUGCGCUGACGUGGCCCACACACAGGUAGCAGACUGAAGUGGUCUGGACAGGAAUGUUGGAAGUGGCCUAUGGCCGUGCUUUUCUCUCUUGCUGCUGGUCGCUAGCCUCAAUUGAUUGCUUUAAUUUGGCCUGUAAUGUGCCAUGACAAUAUAUUGCUGACUAUGUACCUGUCCAGGUUAUCCACUUCUGAUAGUGAUGUUUUGAGCUGAUAAAGCUGAUAAAAUGAAGUGAAUUGAUGUAACAUUGUUGAAUUUGUGACUUGAGUAGGGCAUGUUUUACAUGUAUUUUUAUACAUUUAUGAAUCUCAACGCACCCUGAGAACACAGAUGGUCUCUCCUAAGAGAUUGUGGGAUGUGAAUAUGUUUUGGCCUCUGUUAUUAUUAAACCCAUGUACUGUAUCUGUUACGGUACAUUAAAAUCCCCUGCUAACUAUGAUGUAAUCACUCUGUUGGUAUGGAUUUACAGUACAGGGGUGCGUAGGGAGGUAGCCCUUUCCUGCAGCCAAAUUACCUAGUGGCCUCAUGGGUGGAAUGUUAUUAAUACACCGAAAAUCUGGUCUUUGUUUUAAAACAGUUUUGUUAUUUCAGUCUUCUGUGAUGUAUAUAAAGUGUAAUAUUGGGAUGCAAACUCAAAAUGUAACACAUUUCAACUUUAUGACAUGGUACAGGUGUCUUCUUUUUUUAAGCGCGUCACCAUGUGUGUGAGGUGUAUACUUUUGUUUCAAACUAGAUUUGUUUAAGACUACCAAGAAACACUGUGUGACCCUGAUUUAGCCCACUGCAGUAAAAUGUUAAUAAUGACGCCUUCUACACCCAUAGAAGACCAAAAGAGGAGACAUUUCAAUUUAAAAAAAUAAUAAGUGACUGAAAAGAGCGUCUUGUCUGCACUCAAGCGGUCGCGCGUAUCGUCAUUCCGCAAACAAAUAAAUCAUGCUUCUUGUGAUUUGUAAUUACCCAAAGAUAUGCCGCAAGAAGGAAAGGUCUUCAAAGUGUCCAGCACACCACAAACUGUGUCAUGCAGUGAGUAUUGAGAGGAACCAACAUUUUGGACAGUGACAUACACUAUAUGUCCAAAAGUAUGUGGACACCCCUACUAAUUACUGAAUUCAGGUGUUUCAGCCACACCCAUUGCUAACAGGUGCAUAAAAUCCAGCUAAGCCUUUAGUUCCAGUGACGGGUCAUCUUAAUGCUACAGGAUACAAAGACAUUUUAGACAAUUGGGUGCUUCCAACUUUGUGGAAACAGUUUGGGAAAGGCACUUUCCUGUUCCAGCAUGACUGUGCCCCACAGACACACUCCAAAAUCUUGUGGAAAGCCUUCCCAGAUGAGUGGCGGCUGUUAUAGCCGCAAAGGGGGGCCAAGUCCAUAUGAAUGCCCAUGGUUUUGGCCUGUGGUUUUGGAAUGGGAUGUCCAACAAGCUCAUAUAGGUGGGAUGGCCAGGUGUCCACAUACGUUUGGCCAUAUAGUGUAUUUAGAAUAUCAUCAAAUUUCAUUUCAAAUCUGAGGUGGACAAGUACAGAUCUAAAAUGUCUGUCACUGUCCAUUUAUCUUUGGUGUUGACUGUAAUAGCAUAUUGAAUUCACAUACCUGAGUUUUAUCUAAUCUUCUACAACUUCCUACAGGCCUACCAGCCAAAACAACAACUGGUGGAGUAGCGCUACCUGCAGCAUCCAGUCUCCAACAAAAGGAAUCUGCAUCCACAAGUCCUGCGCAGUCUCAAGAGAUAAUUACAAUGAUGUCUGCAUUUCAAACAAAGGUACUGCUGAAGCUACACAUUAUAAUUUAGAACCAGUGAGAGCAACUGAGGCUCCUUAAUCCUACAAGGCCAUCGACCACAGCUGAGGACCUCGACAUUCUGCCAUCACCGUUAGACUCUGUGGCUGACCUGAAGCUACUGUGUUAGUGGAUCUCAACAGAGGAGAAUUUUUGCAAACAGUUGUAUGUAUGGGUCUAACACAUUGGAGAAGACUAUGAGGAGGAUGAUAGGGCGCAUUGGGACCAACAGACUGUGGUCCCAGUUCAGUAUGAAAGGGAGAAAAAAGUUGGCAUUCGAAGACCUGCCUCUGUUAAGUCAUGGCAAAGGCCUGCAGCAGAUGCCACAGAGGCCAAAAUAACUGAGUAUGAGACCAAAAUCGGUGAAUGCAUGAAGCAUGCGCCAUUUAAGAACGGGGGCAACAAAUACAGAUCAAAGACCACAGCACCUGAAAUGAUGGAGAGAGACGGAAGCCCAAGAGAGAGAAGGAGCACAAGCACGGUGUCGACCCUAAUGCUUUUUGACUAAAGAGGACAUUUUGUAUCUCCAGUGAUUUUAUUAAACGGGUCCAGUGGUAAAAAAAAGGGAAAUACUAGGGAAAUAGUAAUGUAAUUAUUUGCUAAUCCAAUUAUAGUUCAUCAAUAGUUAGUAAUUAACAGUUUUAUAUUGUAUGUUGUAUUUCCUUGUUGGUUAAAUAAUUAAAAUGUUAUUUAUAAUAGUCCCCUUUUUAGUCAUGUAAAUAGUUACCAAUCCAAGUAUAGUUAAUCAAGAGUUAGUAAUUAACAGUUUUAUAUUGUAUUUCCUUGUUGGUAAUUUAAAAAAAGAUAUAUAUAGUCUUUAUUAGUUAAAGCCAUCAUCGCAUAUAACACCUAUUACCGUUAACCAACGUUUGUUAAACAUUGGCAAACGUUGAUGGACGUUUCAAACCCAACCAAACCAACGUUGUAAAAUACAACUAUUAUAAACAUCUGCCAAUUAUUUGUUAAAUGUUGGUGGAUGUUCAUUAACAUUUAAAAGGAACUAAUAGCCAACGUUGUAAAUUACACUAAUACCAACGUUAACCAAAACGUUGAUGACACCUACGAAAUAUGUUUACAAAACGUAAUCUGUCCCCUACACUUUAACCAAAACCUAACAUUUAUCUGAAUGCAUUCAGAAUGUUUAGACAACCAAUCCAAUACCUACAUUUUUAUUUUUUAUUUAUAAAACCCAUUUUUGCUACCUGGGUGAUGAAUGACAGUGCCAACAUACUUGUUUUAUUACAUAGGAAAGUAUAAUGUGUUGUGUUUGAUUACUGUCUUGCCGAAUUAAAAGCAUGUCUUGUGAAGGCUUGUAGGCUGCAUUUUGACAGGCUGUUUCGAAGACAGUCACAACCCAAGUCUCAUGUGAGUACCGAAAAGACUCCCAGCUGAGUUGCAUAUGAGUACCCAAGAGAGUCCCAUGGUACUCAUGUCCAAUAGCUGUACCAAAACAGAUUGGGCACCAGGUACCAUGACAACUGCAUCCUUCAGAGACAAUAAGUAGUUUGUAUUCAAUGAGCUACAUGUUUAUGUAUGUUGUGUAUGAUCACAACAACGGAAUCAUUAUUUUCAAAACAGAAACUCUUAUCUAAAGUAACCUCAACCACUGUUUUAAUUAUCUAACAGCUUUUCAUUCAUGUUCAUUUGAAGUUUGGUACACGCUUCCUAAUGAUGGUGUUUCUUUGAUCACACUGGAGCGUGUGUGUUUGUCUACCACCAGCAGAAUAAAUACCAGUUGUUUUUCUCUUUCAUUAUGCAGAUAAUCUCACAUUGAUUAACAAAGCUCAUUACAAUUUCCAAUGCAGCACAAGCUGCUGAUCUGAGUUCUAUAGCGCUAUAGGAUCUAACAACCUGCCAUGUUGAGGAGUAAACUGCUUGUCUGUUUUCUCUUACUCUCUUUUCAGAUAUCUGAGUCAUUCUACAUUAUCCUUGACUGAUAUACCUUUCUGCUGUUUUUCAAGGAGGAAACACAUACCUGCAGGUUCAUGAGCAUGCAUGUAUGGCCCAGUACAUCACUGGGGCCAAGCUUCCUGCCAUCCAGGACCUCUAUACUAGGCGGUGUCAGAGGAAGGGCCAAAAAUGGUCAAAGGCUCCAGUCACCCAAGUCAUAGAUUGUUCUCUCUUCUUCUGCACGGCAAGCGGUACCGGAGCGCCAAGUCUAGGUCCAAAACGGUCAUGCCCUGAUCUGUUUCACCUGUCCUUGUGCCUGUCUCCACCCCCUGCAGGUGUCUCCCAUCUUCCCCACUUAUCCUCUGGGUAUUUAUACCUGUGUUUUCUGCCAAUUUGUCUUGUUUGUUCAAACCUACCAGCGUUUUGUGUCUCAGCACCUGCCUUUUCGAGUUUCUCUUUUCUCGCCCUCCUGGUUUUGACCCUUGCCUGUCCUGACUCCGAGCCCGCCUGCCUGACCACUCUGCCUGUCCGUGACCCUGCCGUCCUGUACCUUUGCUCCACCCCUGGAUUACUGUACUCUCCCUGUCCGUGACCCUGAGCCUGCCUGCCGUCCUGUACCUUUGCUCCACCCCUGGAUUACUGUACUCUCCCUGUCCAUGACCCUGAGCCUGCCUGCCGUCCUGUACCUUUGCUCCACACCUGGCUUAUCGACCCCUGCCUGCCUUGACCUGUCUUUUGCCUGCCCCUGUUGUUACAAUAAACAUUGUUACUUCAAACAGUCUGCACUUUGGUUUUACCUUGAUCCCUGAUAAAAACUCUGCUU
rnacentral:lncRNA from 1 species